rnacentral:rRNA from 1 species
UACGUAGGGGGCUAGCGUUGUCCGGAAUCAUUGGGCGUAAAGCGCGUGUAGGCGGUUCGGUAAGUCCGCUGUGAAAGUCGGGGGCUCAACCCUCGGAUGCCGGUGGAUACUGUCGGACUAGAGUACGGAAGAGGCGAGUGGAAUUCCUGGUGUAGCGGUGGAAUGCGCAGAUAUCAGGAGGAACACCAAUAGCGAAGGCAGCUCGCUGGGACGGUACUGACGCUAAGGCGCGAAAGCGUGGGGAGCAAACAGG